GAAAUGCGAUAAGUAAUGUGAAUUGCAGAAUUCAGUGAAUCAUCGAAUCUUUGAACGCACAUUGCGCCCCCUGGUAUUCCGGGGGGCAUGCCUGUUCGAGCGUCAUUUCACCACUCAAGCCUCGCUUGGUAUUGGGCGACGCGGUCCGCCGCGCGCCUCAAAUCGACCGGCUGGGUCUUCCGUCCCCUCAGCGUUGUGGAAACUAUUCGCUAAAGGGUGCCGCGGGAGGUCACGCCGCAAAACAACCCCAUUUCUAAGGUUGACCUCGGAUCAGGUAGGGAUGUCUGCUGAACUUAAGC
rnacentral:misc_RNA from 1 species